UCUGUGCUGGGUCCCCUCCUCUCUGUGAGGCCCACAGAUUCAGCUCUGAAGUGUUGGGAUGAAUCUCAGCGCCUGUGUGAGCUGCAAAGGGACACAAAUGCCAUCCAUUGCUGUCCCCCCCUCCAUUCAGAUAGCUUCCUAGAGGGAGCCUUGUUCUGCUGCAAUAGCAAUGCGUGAUGAGGGUCGGCUUGUUAUCCUAUAAGCCCACGUUUCUUUGGUUUCGGGAUGAAGACUCAGCCUGUUCCAUGGAACCAAAGCCCCAAUAACUGAUAACAACCAAUGAUCGAUUACCAUCAGCAGGUAAGCUUUAUUAUUUUGUAACAGAGAACAGAACACCGAAAGCAGCUUUCUCCCCUUGCUUCUGUGUGCAUUCUUAUAUUUUCAAAAGCAUUACAUAUUUGUUGAAUUUCCACAAAUCCUGAUACAUGAUCAGACAAUUUCCCAAAAUGUUUAUAUCUUUUCUAGGCACUCCAUCUCCACCCAUUAUUUCCCUUUCUAUGUUUUCUUUCUUCCAAUUGGAUUUGAGUUAGAGGUCACACAUCCUCAGUUCAGACAGCUUUGGCUCACA